rnacentral:rRNA from 1 species
GACGAACGCUGGCGGCGUGCUUAACACAUGCAAGUCGAACGGAAAGGCCCUGCUUUUGUGGGGUGCUCGAGUGGCGAACGGGUGUGUAACACGUGAGUAACCUGCCCGUGACUUUGGGAUAACUUCAGGAAACUGGGGCUAAUACCGGAUAGGAGCUCCUGCUGCAUGGGGGGGGUUGGAAAGUUUUGGCGGUUGGGGCUGGACUCGCGGCUGAUCAGCUUGUUGGUGGGGUAGUGGCUGACCAAGGCUUGGACGGGUAGCCGGCCUGAGAGGGUGACCGGCCACAUUGGGACUGGGAUACGGCCCAGACUCCUACGGGAGGCAGCAGUGGGGAAUAUUGCACAAUGGGCGGAAGCCUGAUGCAGCAACGCCGCGUGCGGGAUGACGGCCUUCGGGUUGUAAACCGCUUUCGCCUGUGACGAAGCGUGAGUGACGGUAAUGGGUAAAGAAGCACCGGCUAACUACGUG